rnacentral:rRNA from 1 species
UUAAGCAUAUCAAUAAGCGGAGGAAAAGAAACUAACAAGGAUUCCCCUAGUAACUGCGAGUGAAGCGGGAAAAGCUCAAAUUUAAAAUCUGGCAGUCUUUGGCUGUCCGAGUUGUAAUCUAGAGAAGUGUUAUCCGUGCUGGACCGUGUACAAGUCUCCUGGAAUGGAGCGUCAUAGAGGGUGAGAAUCCCGUCUUUGACACGGACUGCCAGGACUUUGUGAUGCGCUCUCAAAGAGUCGAGUUGUUUGGGAAUGCAGCUCAAAAUGGGUGGUAAAUUCCAUCUAAAGCUAAAUAUUGGCGAGAGACCGAUAGCGAACAAGUACCGUGAGGGAAAGAUGAAAAGAACUUUGGAAAGAGAGUUAAACAGUACGUGAAAUUGCUGAAAGGGAAACGCUUGAAGUCAGUCACGUUGUCCAGGGAUCAACCUUGCUUUUGCUUGGUGCAUUUUCUGGUUGACGGGUCAGCAUCAAUUUUGACUAUUGGAAAAAGAUUAGGGGAAUGUGGCAUCUUCGGAUGUGUUAUAGCCCUUGGUUGUAUACAAUGGUUGGGAUUGAGGAACUCAGCACGCCGCAAGGCCGGGUUUUUAACCACGUACGUGCUUAGGAUGCUGGCAUAAUGGCUUUAAUCGACCCGUCUUGAAACACGGACCAAGGAGUCUAACAUGCCUGCGAGUGUUUGGGUGGAAAACCCGAGCGCGCAAUGAAAGUGAAAGUUGAGAUCCCUGUCGUGGGGAGCAUCGACGCCCGGACCAGACCUUUUGUGACGGUUCCGCGGUAGAGCAUGUAUGUUGGGACCCGAAAGAUGGUGAACUAUGCCUGAAUAGGGUGAAGCCAGAGGAAACUCUGGUGGAGGCUCGUAGCGAUUCUGACGUGCAAAUCGAUCGUCAAAUUUGGGUAUAGGGGCGAAAGACUAAUCGAACCAUCUAGUACCUGGUUCCUGCCGAAGUUUCCC